rnacentral:rRNA from 1 species
UACAGAGGUCUCAAGCGUUGUUCGGAUUCAUUGGGCGUAAAGGGUGCGUAGGCGGCGCGGUAAGUCGGGUGUGAAAUCUUGGAGCUUAACUCCGAAAAGUCAUUGAAUACUAUCUGGCUGGAGGGUCGGAGGGGAGACUGGAAUUCUCGGUGUAGCAGUGAAAUGCGUAGAUAUCGAGAGGAACACCAGUGGCGAAGGCGAGUCUCUGGACGACACCUGACACUGAGGCACGAAAAGCUAGGGGAGCAAACAGG